CGUGUAGGCGGUUGGUUAAGUCUGAUGUGAAAGCCCUGGGCUCAACCCGGGAAGUGCAUUGGAAACUGGUCAACUUGAGUACGGGAGAGGGAAGUGGAAUUUCGAGUGUAGGGGUGAAAUCCGUAGAUAUUCGAAGGAACACCGGUGGCGAAGGCGGCUUCCUGGACCGAUACUGACGCUGAGACGCGAAAGCGUGGGGAGCAAACAGGAUUAGAUACCCUGGUAGUCC
rnacentral:rRNA from 1 species